rnacentral:rRNA from 1 species
UACGUAGGGUGCAAGCGUUGUCCGGAAUUAUUGGGCGUAAAGAGCUCGUAGGCGGUUUGUUGCGUCGGCUGUGAAAUCCCGAGGCUCAACCUCGGGUCUGCAGUCGAUACGAGCAAACUAGAGUGUUGCAGGGGAGACUGGAAUUCCUGGUGUAGCGGUGGAAUGCGCAGGAUAUCAGGAGGAACACCGAUAGCGAAGGCAGCUCGCUGGGACGGUACUGACGCU